GAAUAUUGCGCAAUGGGCGAAAGCCUGACGCAGCAACGCCGCGUGCGGGAAGAAGGGCUUCGGCUCGUAAACCGCUUUUCUGUGGGAAGACAUCGACGGUACCGCCGGAAUAAGUCUCGGCUAACUACGUGCCAGCAGCCGCGGUAAAACGUAGGAGGCGAACGUUAUCCGGAUUUACUGGGCGUAAAGCGCGUGCAGGUGGCCUGUUAAGUCGUGCGUGAAAGCUCCCUGGCUCAACCGGGAGAGGUCGUGCGAUACUGGCGGGCUGGAGACAGAGAGAGGCAAGUGGAAUUCCGGGUGUAGUGGUGAAAUGCGUAGAUAUCCGGAGGAACACCAGUGGCGAAGGCGGCUUGCCGGCUCUGUUCUGACACUCAGACGCGAAAGCAUGGGUAGCGAACGGG
rnacentral:rRNA from 1 species